AACAAUUUUUUUUUUUUAGAAAACAGCCCUCCUGUCCCCUGUGAGUGUCACAACGCCAACUGCAUUGCCUAAUAUUAAUUUAAAGUUUAUGGAUGUGUUUAAUAUAUUUUUAUUGCCACACCUGCGUACAUUUUCAGCUUCCCUCCUCCGUAUAGAAGGUUUAGGCAAUUCACCCGAGAUCGGCAAUCAAUUUUGAACCCGAACUAUGGCGAGAUACUCCGGGGUAAUACUGAAUAGGGGUUAAAGGUUGUAAAUUAAUUAUGCAAGCGAAUAUAAUGGAUGAAAGGCCGGAAAGGGAUUACGUGGCAAGUAAAUCAGGGCCCGCGGAGCCUUGAAGUGUUUAAGUAUACGCUAAUUGCGUUUCGAUUGAAGCUAAUUUCGAUUUGUUCGAGAGAACUCGCGAAUCGAGACGAAACCCAGACAAAAACGAAACUUAAAUUUGUCGUCGAUCAAAGUUUUCCCGACCGGCAGCCCAGACCCGGACGAUGUUUUAAUUCGGAGAGACAUUUUUCAAGAAAGAGUCAACUGCAAGAAAAGUUUAAUUAAAUGCAAGAAGCGCUGUUCUUCUUCAUCGCGAGAGGAUUCGAUCUGGGAAGUUUUUUAAUUUGCAUUUAAAUUUUUUUGUUGUUGUUCCCGCCUGAUGAUUAACCGACGGGGCCACCUGCCGCUUCGGGGGGUCUGCCAGGCAGAGGGAUUUUAUUCGGGGGGAUAUCAAGGGGGAUCACGGGAUUAUGUGGUUUGGAUGAAAAGCUGUUGUGUACAAAUUCAAUUCAGAUCAAAUUGAAGAUCGUUUGUUCACGUAUGUUAAUAUAAUCCUUUUGGCUGCGAGGUAAUUAUAACGAAAGCAAUUACGCAAAAUCAAAUUUCCUAAUAAAAUCGCCGCUUUCGUCAUAAAUAAUAUUAACGAGACAAAAGCGGGCAGUAAUAACAAUAGUUUGAUCGUAAUAAAUUUGUUCUGGGAGUUUUGAUUAACGAUGCCGCCGCAGUGUUUAUUGAACUGCAAAUUUAUUAAUUUAAAUUAUCACCCGAUUGUAAUGUUGAGUAUUGUUAUCGGCCGGAGAUUUAAAAUUAAAAGUUUUUUGGGGGGUAAUUCGAACGGCAAACCUUAAUACUUGUUCCGCUUGCUUGCUUGGCUUGACUUGGUGUAACUAUAGACACAAAACUGAGUUUUGAAAUUCAUAUUGAAAACAUAGUGAAAAAUGCUUAUAGAAACUUAUGUUUCAGGGUUAGCAAAGGGUUUAAAGAUUGAACGAAUUGGAGGCAUUUAAACAAAGUUUAUUUUUCUCAUGAACUUUAGGUACAACCACAAUCUAAUAGGUUCUCGGAAGUUCUUUUCGACCUUUGAGAUGAAUUUCUAAAAAUCUAACGUGAAAAAAAUUAACUAAUAAAAACACUUCAUAAAUUAGUGACUUUCUGGACUAUUUUAGAGGCAGAAAACAUUAUUGUUGCAUUAUUUCGCGGCCAUCAAAGACAACAUGCGACUGAUAUGAAUAACAAAGGGUGAAACAACAAUAGCGUCCUGACGUUAGCCUAUUUUGAAGCGCAACCCAAUACACAAACCGAAGCAUGCCUAAGCCAAACGGCAGGGCGUCGAAUAUAAAUGUAGGACUAUCGAUUUUAUUUUAAAUAGUAGAAUCCUGCAUAUCCCAGACUACGCCUUAAGCUAAAGCUCUUUUGUUUUUAAUUUUUUUAGGGUUUUGCAUUUACAGUUUCUAGAGAUUUGUAAAGAGUGAAAAUGGUUUCUGCUAAAGUAAUCCGUACCAAUUCUGACGAGUCAUUACGAGAGGGGCGGGACGGGACCAAAUUACCUCUUCGGCUAAUCUAAAGUUAACUAGACGAAGGGGACCCGAACCCAUCCAUCCAACGGACACUUCGCUACAUCCGAAUUUAGCUCCACACACGUGACAGCAAGAGGUCGCAAAAUACCCCAUUUUCCGGGUAUUUUCUCGGCUCGCUCGAUCCUGACGAAAAUUGCCAUCGACUACUGAUACCAACGGUUUGCGUUUCUCAUUAAAAAAGGCAAUAACAAAUUCUUGAAAUCAGCACCUGGAUGACUAACGGAUAUUUUUGCUCCAUAUCAUAGUAAUUGGUUUAAUACCUUUCCUUGCAAGGGCUAGAAACCAUUUAAGGUAGUGAGUUUAUUUUGGCCUUCCUCUUGCCUGGCGAACACCACUGCAGUGCUCUUCUCGUAAUUUUUUUCUUGUUUUUGUUCAAUGUGUGACUCAAUCAACCCAUUUUUCUCUUUUUUUGAUCCCCUAUCUCGGAUUCACCUACUUGCUGCAACAGUUCUUCAAUUCUGAUAGUUUUACGCAGAUUCGUAAAAUAUUCCUUAAACUUCUAUUGUAGUUUUUGCCCCACUGCUUUAGUCAGUUGUUGACCCGUAAAGAAAUAGUUUUAUUUUAGUUUGUGUGAAUAGUCGCUGUUCUUUCAAUUUGUUUUUUCCCCAUUGUUAUUUGUUGUGCUUUUAAUGUAUUACUGGUAAGUAAAUCUACAGACCUUGGUUGGCGAUUGCCAGUUUUCUUCUUGUUCUCUCAAGGAAAGGCCAAUGUUAUCAUAAGGGUGGUCACAAGAAGCCGGUGUGAAAGCAGGUUUGACACUAUCCCAAGUAGUUCAGUUAAAGUGUUCUUAUUUUUCCCUAAUUUUUCGUCCAUUUAAUUAGCAAAGUUGCCGGUUCCUUCCUUUAAACGUUCCCUAUUGUCAUAAUUUUGAGUUGCAUUUUUAGAUUAAUUCUGAAGUUUGUAUCUCUAUUGCCACACAUUUUUUGAUUGAAUUGGCCAAGUAUUUUGUAUAUUCGAUCAAAUCUUUAUACUCUGUUGGUGAUUUAUAUGAACUAUUGAUUUUAUUAUUAAGUUUUAUCAAGAACAAUCGCUAUUACUACUUAUUAUAAUUUAACUUAAAUUUCACUUGGUCGAAACCAAUUCCCAUAAAACCUAAAUAGUUUGCAUUUCAACUAGUAACUGUAAAUACCAUGUUAAUCUAAAAAUUAAAGGGGCAAAUAAAAACCUAAAUUAAAAUCGAUUAAGCGCACCUGUGCCAAAUUUGUGGUGAUGGACGCGCAGUAUUUAUCAUCGGAAAAGCUAACUGUAAAUCUAAAAUUUAUUGCGACAAGCUAAUUAGCGAAAUAAAUUUUAUAUAAUGGAUAAUAAAAUUCUGUUAAACUGAAGAUAACGUUCGCAAUAAUUUUUCCUUAAGUAGCAGCGAUUUAUUGUUUAUUAGUGACGUACGUCAUCGGUCAUAUUCUCGCUAAUACUAAAUGUUCCUAAAGAAAUUAAAGGAAAUAAAACGAGAUUUAUUGAACUUAGCAUAAUAUUGGUAUGUAUUACAUUUUCGUCAUUGAUUAAACAAAAGAAGCGAAACCCAAAACCAAAACCCUGUUAAUGGCGUGAAGCUGGGGGUGCACUCUCCCGUCAAUGAAGCUAUAGAAAAGCAAUAAGGACAACACAAACCGCCUCCCAAAUGUUCACCCGAAAUUACUACCUCACAUCCAUAUAGUUGGAGGGGGAAUCAUUUAUAUAGAGGAAGAGUAUAUUUUAUUAAAUUUGAGAACGAAAUUAAAGUAGUAAACUGAAUUAAACACUUUUGUCUGUUCAACAAGCAAAUUUGACACAGGGAAAUAAUAACUAGUGUUGAGGCUGGAAAAUUGACAACUUUCUAAUGGAAUAGUCAAAAAUCUCAUAUCUUACAAUUGCAGGGUAUCAUUAUUUAAUAAUAAUAUGCAUUUCAUAUUAAACUAUUAUGCUUUUUUGAUGAUAGACGGGUACAAAAGUAAGGCGGUACAAAAAAUGAAAAAAUUAAAGUGGUCUUAGAGAGAAAAAAUAAUAAAAAAUAAAAUAACCGUAGACUAUUCGAUGUUUGCUAUCAAACGAUAUGUCCAAAAUUUGAAAGAUAUUUUUUAUUCUUGAUAAACUUACCAACCAAAAAUCUGAAAAACGCAACACGAAAUUCACCAGCCAAGGAAUAAAAUUUUCUGAGGUAUUGUAUAACAUAUAAAAAGAGUACGAAAUAGUUUACAUUUAACCAAGAGUCGAAAACAUUUCAAAAAGUCAUUUCCCACGGAACCAAAGCCAUCUUCAGCAGUUUCGUUUAUACAGGUCAUCCUAUGAUUUCUUAGGCUUAGGUAAAUUGUACAUUUUUGAAACAACAUUUACAGGUGAAGUAGAACUUUUAUGUAACAACUCAGGAGGGUUAAUUAUAUUCUCAUAACCACUUUUCCAGUUGGAAAUGCCACAUUGUAAUAUGUAAGCAAGAGAAAUAUAUUCGACGUUCGGGCAAAUCAACUAAAAUUUAAUCCAACACACGCCUUCCGUUUCCAUUAUUUCUUUACAGUCGACUGUAAAGCAAAUCUGCUGCACCGUUAAACAUCAUUUGCAGGAAAAUAUCGCGAGGGAUGACAGGAAACCGCGGGCGAUUUCCCCCCGCACAAAACACGCGUCGCGCCCCCCCCGAAUCUCAACCACGGGAUAAAUAAACACCCCCCCGUUCGUCCCACCCCGCGCGGACAAUGUACGUGUUAUCGUUCCGUUCGCAACAUAAAUCAGGGCCUGAGGGGCUGUCGUUGCAUUGCCGCUCAGCCAUAGCCGCCAUCUUUAUGAAAACGGUGUUUGGUCAUGCAUGCGACGUCGUCAGUGGCGGCUUUGGGUAGUGUAAAUCCAAGUUUUUUUUAGUUUUGAUUAGUGUAACAUUAUGCAGACAAAAUUUACACACGUUGCCGUAAGUAGCCCCCAAAAAUAUGUAUAUGUAAUUAUAUUUUGAGUGCAAUGAAUGUAAAAGUAUGAAUAGAUGUAAAAAAAAAACAAAGAGUUCUUAAAAAGCUCGUACAUCUAUAUAUGUAUAUACUUCUUUAAGCCCAUAAAAACGGAAACAACGUUAGCACGAAUACAAAAACAAAAAGUAAUUUCAAACUUAAAUUCAUUCUAUGCGUGUCAUUAGCAUCCCGACGAUUGGUACUUUUCUUUGACGGUUUCCUUGGAUCUCGGAGAGGUUAUUUCAAGCUAUUAUAAAUACAAUACGCUCUGCAAACACCUAUCAUCCCGUAAUUGCGCAACUAGGAGGUCGAGAACAUAAAACUUUCAAAAAACUUGACUAUAUACCGCUUUCAGCACUUAUUAUGUUCGUAUUGUGGUUAGGGACUUUUUGUACCCUUACUAGGCGAUAAAGUUAACGAUGUGCAAAAAGUAUCACUUUAAGCAACUUCAUUAUACACUGCCAAUUCUAAUUAUCCAUCAAAUGUCACCUAAUAAAUGUAUUUAUGCUGUGUUGGCAAUAUAUCUAUGUGUCCAAAAACCAAAGUAGAAAAAGUAUGGUAUGCAUCACUUUUCCUCGCUUCUUCUUAUAAAGCACUAGCUUGGCUGCACUCCGUUCGAGCCAACUCAACUCAUGACUAAAGUGAAAGAACUAACAAUGAAUACUUUUACAAUAAGAUCACUGAGACUGAUAAUUAAAUUAUGGCUUACAGAAAACAAAGAUUUAAUAAUGUAUCCACGACGUUCCCAUUGGUUGGUUAAAAAUAUUUUGCAAAAUAAUAACCGAUACUGAUGUAAAUUCAAAAGAGGUACAAAAAGUUCAUAUCCACAAUUUUUUCCAAUUAUCGCAUUGGGAUUGUCUCAGUUUGUAUGCAAAAAACGAAAAAAAAACCAUCUUAUACAAAAAAAAGUUAACAGCUGCCUUGUGAUGGUAUAAUUAGUAUCCAGGUAGUAUUUUCGUCACACUUCCCAUUUCCUGAUCUGCCUGUGGUGAAAAAUUUCUCUCGGCCCACCCCUGGCGAGACGCCCGGUUUUUCCGUUCGCGUUGUUUACGUCCCCCGACGGAUAAAUACGAUAAAGAAAAGGAAAUAUAUGGCCGUUUUAGACGGUCGGUGCUUUUUGGGUUCCUGUGCUACCGAAUUGCUCCGGGAACGAGUUUGAACAUGACCGGUUUAGAAUUAACCGAACUUAAUGCCAAUAUUUAUGGUGUUGCGGAAAAUCCGACCGUGAUUUCUCGUAAAAACAGCCGUUUAUUGUUCGCAAUUCCAUUGUGCUAAGUAGGGUGUUGAUAAAACCUUUAAAAGGGACGAGGAACGGAAUUUUAAACGAGUCUUUGGAUUUAUCCCACUUCUGAUCAGUCAAACGGUUAGUGUCAAAUGCAAUGACAUUAUAAAAGAGACCCCGGGAGGUCAUAAAAAUUAGUCGCAACCGGUUUUGUUAUUUGCUCUAGAAAAUAAUUAAUAAUUGCAUAGUAUUUCUCUUCCAUGAGCAAUUUUAAAUAAAACAAAAAAAAACAAAUUUACUAUCAUUUAGUUAUCGCAUAUCGUCAGGAUACCUUGGGCUUGGAUUUUAGGUCUUAUGACUCAGCCCCAUCCUGCCUCUUGGUUUCUUGACCUUGGUCUCCAAAACAAAGUUAAUAAAAUGUGUCUUGACUACAUUCUAGCUACCACGCAGAGAUCUUUGACAACAUGAGGACAGUGUAGAUUGCAGUUAUGGGUCAAUAAUAUUAUUACUACUAUCAGUAAUAAAGUUUUGAAAAAGGUACUUACGUUACGAAAUUACAAAGCCCCACUAGACUCUUUUCCUUCACACUAAUUCGGAAUAAUAAAUAUAUAAAAUAUACCAGCUUAUUUCAAUAAUUUUUUUGUUUAGUUAUGUAAUGUUUUUCUCAUAUUUUUAAGUUACACUGUACCUCCUAUGCUUCUUUCUAUAUAGUAGUAUAAUAUACUAUAUUCAAUAACUUUGAUAAAACGCCAAAUUAGUGAUGGUUUUUUUUGGUACCAGCUGGUUGAGUGUUUCUAUAAGUGUCUGAAACAAUUUAUCAACGUUUUGCAAUGCUCUACUUUUUAUACGACCGUUACUUUGCACACGUCUUAUUGGUGUGUAAUUGGGAUUUUAAAGCAGAGAGCAAAAAUAAAUUUCGCGUCGGAAUUCAUCCCACUUCUGACGUCUCCGAGACGUAUCGAAAUAUUUCCGAUACCCCAUGUUAUUUGCGGCGGAACGUUGUUUGUUUGCGCCAGUAUUAAGUUUGCUCAAGUUGUUUAUAACCGCUCAGACACUUUGCCGCGGAUAAAUUUCGCUCGGGGUCGUUUAAAAAGCCUUUUCGGUCGGAUUAAUUUUCAAAACCGCACUGAAUUAACAAGAAACCUCGUCGUUUUUCGUUUUGAGCGUAUUGUAAUGAAGCAACGUUUUUGUGUUUCCACACUGUGAAAGCCGGAGAUUGUUAUCGUCGUCUUUAUUUUAGUCGAGUUGAAUUGGAGGUUUUGUUUCGUCCCUCGCACGGAACUCAAGCCGGAAUUUGGAAUUACGACGAAAGACGAUGUUUUUGUUAUUGAUAUGAAGGAGACGUUGCCGCUCAGCAGAUGUACAGGUUGUCCGAUUUUUGAUAUGUCCUUAUGUAAGAUAUUAACAUAAAACAAAAUUGUUCGAACAAUAUUAACAAAUACAAUACAAUACAAAUUUUUAUUCCAAUUCCAUCUUAUUUGCAAAAUUGUCUUAAGAUUUUUAAUUUUUUAACUAAACAAUUUUAUGUAUGUUAUAUUUUAACAAAAAUAAAAAUAAAAUAAUUAAAAAUAAAUUAUCGAAGCAUUUCAUAAAAUUCGCUAGCGGUUGAUAACAGUAAAUUUAUUGUAAUAGUUCUGCAGUGAAGUCGUAUUGAAUUUUCAACUUCUUCAAGGUUAUUAAACGGUCGAUCCCUAUAAACUUUUUGUGUCAAAUAUCCCCAUGAGAAAAAAUCUGAUGGGGCGAUAUCUGGCGAACGAGGAGGCCACCAUGGAUCGGUAUUUUGUCCUAACAAUUCUGAAAGAAUGCGCAGGACAUCCAUCAUGU